UUUUAUGUUGUUUUAAGCUUUUUUUCUUUUUUUAAUGAAUAUUUUUAACAUAUUAGUUUUUUUAGUUAAAUGAUUAAAUAAUAAUGCUUUCAUCAUUUAGACCCAAGUUCAAUUCUUCUUUUCUAAAUACAUUUGUAAUUUUUAUUUCAUACCGUUUUAAGUUUUUUGUUAUUUUAAUUCAUCUUUGUAGAGCCCAAUUUUUUCCCGGGCCCAGGCAAAUAGAAACAAACCCACAACAAAUCAAAUCCAAACACAAAAUAAAUCAAAUCCAUUACAAAUCCAAAAACAAACUAAACCAAGCCCAAACCUAACCCUAGUAGCCCAAAGCCCACUAACUUAAAAAAAAAUUUCAGAAAAAAAACCCUAGCCUCAAGCUAGCCGCCACUCCUACCCCUAGGCCUAUGCCGCGCCUCUAGCACCGCACGCCUCUGCCACGCCUCCAGCGCACGCCGGCCUACUCGCAUGCCUCUGCCGUUGCCUGCACCAAUGUAUCUGAUACCUGCAGGAGCAAACAACAACAAACAACAGU
rnacentral:lncRNA from 1 species